CGUAGGGUGCGAGCGUUAAUCGGAAUUACUGGGCGUAAAGCGUGCGCAGGCGGUUUUGUAAGACAGGCGUGAAAUCCCCGGGCUCAACCUGGGAACUGCGUUUGUGACUGCAAGGCUAGAGUAUGGCAGAGGGGGUGGAAUUCCACGUGUAGCAGUGAAAUGCGUAGAGAUGUGGAGGAACACCGAUGGCGAAGGCAGCCCCCUGGGCCAAUACUGACGCUCAUGCACGAAAGCGUGGGUAGCAAACAGGAUUAGAUACCCUGGUAGUCCACGCCCUAAACGAUGUCAACUAGGUGUUGGGUGGGUAAAACCAUUUAGUACCGGAGCUAACGCGUGAAGUUGACCGCCUGGGGAGUACGGCCGCAAGGUU
rnacentral:rRNA from 1 species